rnacentral:snoRNA from 1 species
GUUACCUUUACUAGUUGAACACUUCCUUGUCCUGGCGUAGACAGGGUAUAGAGGGCAGUCAUUGAGUAAGUCUCAAUGUUGCCUUCAAGUUUCCGAAGCAUAGAUCGAAUUGCCAGUAUUAAACAGCACCAUGCAUACUUUUUGGUUGCACUGUGUUACCUGUCUCCUGGUACAUGU